CUUCAGCAUCUCAAUUGUAACUCGUCAGAGUUUGAUAUUAGUCAAGAGGAAGGUGGCAGCAUGGAGAUGAUUGUCAGGAAGAAAUUGGACGAUAAGAGGAAAGACUGCAGAAGGGGACUUGGAGAGAGAAGAUGAGUGUGGGAUCUGCUUGGAGUCCUGCACUAAAAUGGUUUUUCCUAAUUGCUGCACGCUCCAUGUGCAUCAAUUGCUACCAUGACUGUUACAAGUUCCCUUUCUUUUCUAUCUGUUAUGGGAGCACAAGGUCAGAAUCUUGCCCAUUUUGCCGGGGAACUUUGAAGAGGGUGAAAUCAGGGGACUUGUGGGUUCUGACAUGCAGUAGCAAUGUGGUUGGCACUCAAACUAUGUUGAAGGAGGAUAUGUUGCGGUUCUAUCUUCAUAUAAACGGCCUGCCUAAGGAUAUCCCUGAUGCUCUGUUCUUAAUGUAUUAUGAGUACUUAUUUUAAUCUAACAGACAUUAAGAACAAUGUACAGGAAGGAAAUAUGCCAACCAUUACCUGUCCAAGAGUCUGGUAAGGUUUCCACGUAGAAAAUUCGUUUCAACUUUAUAUUUGAUUAGGUAAUGAUCAAAUGACACUCAUGAACUACUUUUCCUACUUACUAUUUCUGUUUCUUUUUUUCCUCGAA